UACGUAGGGUGCGAGCGUUGUCCGGAAUUACUGGGCGUAAAGAGCUCGUAGGUGGUUUGUCGCGUUGUUCGUGAAAACUCACAGCUUAACUGUGGGCGUGCGGGCGAUACGGGCAGACUGGAGUACUGCAGGGGAGACUGGAAUUCCUGGUGUAGCGGUGGAAUGCGCAGAUAUCAGGAGGAACACCGGUGGCGAAGGCGGGUCUCUGGGCAGUAACUGACGCUGAGGAGCGAAAGCCAGGGUAGCGAACGGG
rnacentral:rRNA from 1 species